rnacentral:rRNA from 1 species
GCAGUAGCCGCGGUAAUACGUAGGGUGCAAGCGUUAAUCGGAAUUACUGGGCGUAAAGCGUGCGCAGGCGGUUUGUUAAGACAGAUGUGAAAUCCCCGGGCUCAACCUGGGAACUGCAUUUGUGACUGGCAAGCUAGAGUAUGGCAGAGGGGGGUGGAAUUCCGCGUGUAGCAGUGAAAUGCGUAGAUAUGCGGAGGAACACCGAUGGCGAAGGCAGCCCCCUGGGCCAAUACUGACGCUCAUGCACGAAAGCGUGGGGAGCAAACAGGAUUAGAGACCCCCGUAGUCCCUGUCUCUUAUAC